rnacentral:rRNA from 1 species
GAUGAACGCUGGCGGCGUGCCUAAUACAUGCAAGUCGAGCGAACAGAUUAGGAGCUUGCUCCUCUGACGUUAGCGGCGGACGGGUGAGUAACACGUGGAUAACCUACCUAUAAGACUGGGAUAACUUCGGGAAACCGGAGCUAAUACCGGAUAAUAUAUUGAACCGCAUGGUUCAAUAGUGAAAGACGGUUUUGCUGUCACUUAUAGAUGUAUCCGCGCCGCAUUAGCUAGUUGGUAAGGUAACGGCUUACCAAGGCAACGAUGCGUAGCCGACCUGAGAGGGUGAUCGGCCACACUGGAAUUGAGACACGGUCCAGACUCCUACGGGAGGCAGCAGUAGGGAAUCUCCCGCAAUGGGCGAAAGCCUGACGGAGCAACGCCGAGUGAGUGAUGAAGGUCUUCGGAUCGUAAAACUCUGUUAUUAGGGAAGAACAAAUGUGUAAGUAACUAUGCACGUCUUGACGGUACCUACUCAGAAAGCCACGGCUAACUACGUG